rnacentral:rRNA from 23 species
CACGGAGAGUUUGAUCCUGGCUCAGGAUGAACGCUGGCGGUAAGCUUAACACAUGCAAGUCGAACGCACCCUUCGGGGUGAGUGGCGGACGGGUGAGUAACACGUGAGUAUCUACCUUCGGGACGGGGAUAACCGCUGGAAACGGCGGCUAAUCCCGGAUAAGCCUACGGGUAAAAGGCAUCGGCAGCGCCGGAAGAGGAGCUCGCGGCUGAUUAGCUAGUUGGUAGGGUAAGUGCCUACCAAGGCAACGAUCAGUAGCUGAUCUGAGAGGAUGGUCAGCCACACUGGGACUGAGACACGGCCCAGACUCCUACGGGAGGCAGCAGUGGGGAAUCUUCCGCAAUGGGCGCCAGCCUGACGGAGCUAUACCGCGUGAGGGAAGAAGGCCCUUGGGUCGUAAACCUCUUUUCUCGGGGAAGAAAGAUGACGGUACCCGAGGAAAAAGCCUCGGCCAACUCCGUGCCAGCAGCCGCGGUAAUACGGAGGAGGCAAGCGUUAUCCGGAAUUAUUGGGCGUAAAGCGUCCGCAGGUGGCUUCUCAAGUCGGCGGUGAAAGGCUGGGGCUUAACCCCAGACCAGCCGUGGAAACUGAGAAGCUAGAGUGCGGUAGGGGUAGAGGGAAUUCCCAGUGUAGCGGUGAAAUGCGUAGAGAUUGGGAAGAACACCGGUGGCGAAAGCGCUCUACUGGACCGCAACUGACACUCAGGGACGAAAGCUAGGGGAGCGAAAGGGAUUAGAUACCCCUGUAGUCCUAGCUGUAAACGAUGGAUACUAGGCGUGGCUGGUUUUCACCCCAGCCGUGCCGAAGCCAACGCGUUAAGUAUCCCGCCUGGGGAGUACGUGCGCAAGCAUGAAACUCAAAGGAAUUGACGGGGGCCCGCACAAGCGGUGGAGGAUGUGGUUUAAUUCGAUGCAACGCGAACAACCUUACCAGGGCUAGACUGGUCGCGAACCCUCUCGAAAGAGAGGGGUGCCUUCGGGAGCGCGACUGCAGGUGGUGCAUGGCUGUCGUCAGCUCGUGUCGUGAGAUGUUGGGUUAAGUCCCGUAACGAGCGCAACCCUUAUCCUUAGUUGCCAGCAUUAGGUUGGGCACUUUAGGGAGACUGCCGGUGACAAACCGGAGGAAGGUGAGGACGACGUCAAGUCAGCAUGCCCCUUAUGCCCUGGGCAACACACGUCCUACAAUGGCGGGGACAAAGGGCAGCGAACCCGCGAGGGUGAGCGAAUCUCGGCAAACCUCGCCUCAGUUCAGAUUGCAGGCUGCAACUCGCCUGCAUGAAGGCGGAAUCGCUAGUAAUCGCUGGUCAGCAUACAGCGGUGAAUUCGUUCCCGGGCCUUGUACACACCGCCCGUCACACCAUGGAAGCUGGCCAUGCCCGAAGUCGUCACCCCAACCUUUAGGUUUUCCUAAGGGAGGGGAACGCCGAAGGCAGGGCUGGUGACUGGGGUGAAGUCGUAACAAGGUAGCCGUACCGGAAGGUGUGGCUGGAUCACCUCCUUACUAG